UUAAUAUUUCGGUCUGAUUUACUUUAUUACAUUUUAAGAUAACUUUCAACUGUGAUCUUUGAGAGUCUUGUUCAACCACAGUAAAGAUGAGUUUUGCAUCAGCCUUCAUCGUGGCACUUGCUUCCUUUAUGGCAUUCGUCGAUUUGACGAUUGGCAGCCCUGAGCACAAAGAAGGAUGUACAUGUGGCCAACAUAAGGGAUGGCUUAAGUUAACGUGAUUAAUUAUAAAUAGAAAUAAAACUUUAUGAAAUAA